rnacentral:lncRNA from 1 species
GAUUACUCAGCGAUAUGCGAUUAAAAGCUUCAAAUUUGCAGAAACCCAUCUUCUUCAGCUCCUACUCUGCCCAUGAUGUCAGAUUCUCUUCUUUCUUAACCUCUCUUUUGAAUUCAUAUGUGGGCUUAAGAUUGUUGGUUUCAUUUCAUGUCUACUUUAUUCCUUUUGUAAUUUGACUUUUCGCUACCUGUCAAUAGCUUAUGGUGAAUUUGGCUUGUGGUAUCGCUAAAGCAUCAUAAUCUCUUCUUCAUUACUGCUAUGUUUCUACUUGUUGGAACAAAAUUUCAUUUAUUGGUGUGCCUUACUUUUCCCAGUGAAAUGAUUCAUAGCCUUACAAGAGAAUAUCAUAACCAUGUUAAAAAAAGCAAUAUGAAAUUCUCAGAGCGUCUUUCAUUGAGAAGUUUCUGGUCUCCAGAAUCCUUUUUGUGCACUUAAGAUUCCUUCUUGGUGUUUGGAGAAAGUUAAGUGAACAUCCCAGUGCAGUGACUUCAACAUGUUCUCAACUUCUCUUAUCACAUUUGAUUCGUCACGAACUAUUAGUUUACCUCCUGGUCUUACUAUUCUAUCCACUUCUGCCAUUACUGGAACAAGAUUGCACCUUUCAAAACAAAACAAAACAAGAGACUUAUUGUUGAUGAAACGUUACCAAAAGGUGUGGAUAUUAUGAGUUACGCUUAUACCUUGUUCUCAACUUUGAGAAAAGAUGAUCUGCAUGUAAGAGAUCAUAGCUUCGAGGGUAUGUGCUAAAUGAUUCACACCAGUCAUGAUAUAUUCCGAAUAGGCCUCUCUCGUAGAUUAUCGGUAGUGUAUCUGGUGAAUUUAUGUUUACUACAUUCAUUACCCACACCUGUAGGUCCUUCAGAGCUGCUGCAAACCUGCAUUUUUACGUAGUUAGUAAAAAAAGGUUUAGUUUUGGUAAGUGAGAUUUUAGUUUGAUUUGUUUUCGUUGAUGCUCACCCUCCGUAGACAGCUCGCAUGUCCAUUACAUUCCUCACAUUUGACCAGCUGAUUCCUAUUUCAUUCAUGUAUACUUUGCUUACAACAUGUUUCCAGUGUUCAUAAUCUGUAGUGAAAUCUCGAGGAGCUGGUUUCCCAUAUAUCCCCAUUUGAGAGCUGUUUAACCAGUAAGGCGGUGUUUGAAGCCGACGGGGCCAAUUCACGGGCCACUUGCUUCCUCUCUCGACCACAUUGGUAGGAACUUUAUGCAUACAUGCUUGUAGGGGUACAUACCUGAAAUUUCCAUUCAAGUUUUGACUUUCUUUGUUCUGUUAAAACCUUAUGGUUAUUCAUUCCCUAUGCAAAUUGUGGAAACAAUCAUACCAGGCUGCAUUUGCAUCGUCGUUGUUUUUGCACAGUGGAGGCUUGUUGUGCUUUCUUUUCUCGUAACAUUCAUUGGUGGCAGGUUUCUGGUAGAUUGCAGCACCAAUACCAUUGAGUUUAUCCUUGUUGAUUGUCACAAGUUCCCAGCACAAGGAUUUUGUCAACGCGGACAUUUCUACAUCACUCAAAACAUCUCAGGUUCAGUGAAACAAACAAAAGAAGGAGGAACUCUAGUUAAGUUCAAGCAUUUUACUUUAGUCAUUACCUUUCCAGAUUUGAACAUCUUCUUCAAGCUUCUGGUAGACUGGUGUUGCUGACCAGACAAAAUAACCUCCAGGCCUAAGCAUCCGAUUAAGUUCCAGAAGAAGCAUACCACCCUCAUUAUGCCAUGGGACUCUACAACGUGCACAGUGGAUAAGAUCAAACACUCUGCUCGGGAAUGGCAGUCGCUUAGAGCCCAUAACUGCUGAGAUGGCUGGAAUCUUUCUUUCAAGAGCAAACUGGACUUGAGCCUCGUGUUCAUCUUUUGGUGCAAGAGACAUUGCUAUAACAUCUCUUUCAAAGAGGAAACCGCCAAAGCUCGCCACUCCACAUCCAACAUCCAAUAUGACCCGAGUACGUUUACCCCACGCAAUGUUUUUCAAAGACUGCCAUAGUAGAAAAAAGGAACCAUUAUAUUCUGCAUAAAAUUUCUAUCUUUUACUUGUUGCAGUUUUAACACUAUACUGAAAUCAAGAAAUGAGUGUUCACCUGCUGAAGAAAAUCGAUAUAAUGAAGAGCUCCAUGGAUGAACUGUGUUCCACCACCAGGAAACGUCAAGAACUCGCCAGUGACCUUCACCCAGUUCUGAUGUCCUUUUACCUCAGCUAGCUUUGUGUGUGGGACAUUGUGGUACCAUAUCUACUAGAUCACAUGCCACUUGAUGGCCUCCUUAUAACCUUCUGGGAGGGGGACGAGACACGUUGGUGGGUCUUCUGGGCAAUGUCUCUCUCUGUGCUCAAAAUGUCUUCUACUCCUUAGUUUCAUUAUAGCUUCUUCGUUGUCUAGGCAUGGUAUAUAGUCAGUUCCUGCAGUUGCAUUGCACAGCACCCAUGCAUUUCCAUCCAUAAUCCUCUCUACGGUGUUUGAUUCAGAUGUCUGUCUUUGUUUCUCGUCCUUAGAUUCUGUUGCCUGACUCUUCCAUGACUUCUGUGAUUCUGCAGAUUCUUUCGGUAUUCCAGAGCCAAAACCACUGGCUUCUGAACCCUGUUCGUGUUUUUUCUCAUCCUUCCGCUCUUCUUGUUGCUCCAUGUUUUCGUCCUUUGAUGUGCUCUCUUCUUCUUUGUUUCCGCUUUCUUCCUCUGCUGUGGUAUGUUCUUCCUGUUGGCCAUUCUCAUCUUUCAUGCUCUUCUCUCCCUUCCCGUUUUCUUCACUAGCUGUUGUCUUCUCCUCGUUUUGUUGUCCGGUUUCCUCAUUCCCUGAGUUUUGUUCCUCUGGUUGUCCGUUUUCUUCAUUCUUUGAGGUCUCUGAUGUUUCCCCCUGCCCCGUUUCCAUAGGUUGUUCUUGUUUGGUCGCAUCUGUGAAUGUCACAUCCGUAUUCGAAUCCUGUUCUUGCCCUUGUUUAUUUCCUUGUUCCACAUCCGGCUGUUCCUUCCCUUGUCCCUGCUCUUGCCCUUGAGUCCCUUUGGGCUGAGUCCCAGCGUCCUCGUCCCGCUGUUGUUUCUGUUCCUUUUCAAACUCCUUGACGACUUUUUUCAUCUGACCCUCCUCACUCUCUUGCACCGUCUGGUUCUCCUUGCCGUUAUCUUUCUCUUUUUCCUCGGAAAUUUUGUCAUCGUUGUUUUGUUGGGUCUCUUGUGUUUGAGUCUUUGAGCUCGUCGUUUCACUCUUCUCUUUCGCUGACUUCCGUUGCUCGUCUUCAGACUUUACGGCAUCGUCUGGAAGCUUUCCCGGAUUGUCUUCAAAUGCCUGUUGCUCAUCAGACUCUUGUUUCGUGGGUUCGGGCUCAUCAUUACCGUUUGAAGAGGCAGACACAUCACUCCUCUCUGUCUCUGCGACAGCCGCUCGAGUGGAGCCUUGUGUGAUCUGCGGUGGAAUAACGGAAUUGGAAGAAAGCAUCCACACCCCGAAGACACACAGAGCCACAAAGAUGACCAUUGUAAUGGUCGACGCAUAGGACGACGUCGAAGUGCGUUUGUUGCCACGUCCCCUCCCGAAGGCCAUCUUUACGGUCUUGCGUAUAGUACUAGUUAUGGAGAAAGAAGAAGAAGAAAAAUGAAGGAGUAAAAUGGGAGUUGAAGGAAGUAAAAAUAGAAGAAAAAGAAGAGAAAGAGAGGUUGUGAAGAGACAAGACUGGAUCAAAGAUCCUAUAGAGUCGGAUAUGGGACUUUCAAUUUCGUGUCUCUAAAUUUAGUUAUGGUCUCUGUGUUUCAUAUUUUGUUGUCCAUGAAAAAUUAGUGCCAUGUAAUCCAAUGUUAACUUGUAACGCCUAGUCAAGGAUAUAUUAAACAUGGCAAGCUUGUGCUUUUUUGGUAUAAUGUAUUCGAAGACUGUUUAAUUUGAAUUUUGAUUGAUUAAGUAUGUUGAUU